UGGGGAAUAUUGGACAAUGGGCGAAAGCCUGAUCCAGCCAUGCCGCGUGUGUGAAGAAGGUCUUCGGAUUGUAAAGCACUUUAAGUUGGGAGGAAGGGCAGUAAGCGAAUACCUUGCUGUUUUGACGUUACCGACAGAAUAAGCACCGGCUAACUCUGUGCCAGCAGCCGCGGUAAUACAGAGGGUGCAAGCGUUAAUCGGAAUUACUGGGCGUAAAGCGCGCGUAGGUGGUUCGUUAAGUUGAAUGUGAAAGCCCCGGGCUCAACCUGGGAACUGCAUCCAAAACUGGCGAGCUAGAGUAGGGCAGAGGGUGGGGGAAAUUCCUGUGUAGCGGUGAAAUGCGUAGAUAUAGGAAGGAACACCAGUGGCGAAGGGGACCACCUGGGCUCAUACUGACACUGAGGUGCGAAAGCGUGGGGAGCAAACAGG
rnacentral:rRNA from 1 species